UAAACAAUCCAAGUGCAAUUCGACCUCAAAUCUUCGUUCAAGUUGCUAGUACACACGCCUAACCUUCGAGUGAAAAUUUCGGCGGCAUGCCCUUUGUAUUUAGCUAUUUUCUAGCCAUUUAUGACUUCAUUUUUUCCUCAACUCAACCCAAUUCAAUACAUAAAUAAGCUUAACAUAAUAGCUCUUCAACUCGGCUCAAUGUCAUUCAAAAAUAAGUCAAUUCG
rnacentral:lncRNA from 1 species